rnacentral:rRNA from 1 species
GCAUAUCAAUAAGCGGAGGAAAAGAAAAUAACAAUGAUUCCCCUAGUAGCUGCGAGUGAAGAGGGAUAAGCUCAAAUUUUAAAUCUGUCGGGUUCUACCUGACCGAGUUGUAAUUUGAAGAGGCGUUUUCUGUGUUUCUGAUCAGUCCAAGUCCUUUGGGAUAAGGCAUCACGGAGGGUGAGAAUCCCGUUCGGUUGAUCAGAUUUGCUUUACGAUACGCUUUCAAAGAGUCAAGUUGUUUGGGAUUGCAGCUUAAAAUGGGAGGUAAAUUUCUCCUAAGGCUAAAUAACGGCGAGAGACCGAUAGCGAACAAGUACCGUGAGGGAAAGAUGAAAAGAACUUUGAAAAGAGAGUUAAACAGUACGUGAAAUUGUUGAAAGGGAAACGAUUGAAGCCAGUCGUACCUGCGGGUAAUCAGCCUUUUGGGCAUGAUUCUGUGGAGCGUGAGGAGUUAAACGCCUUCUUGCCUGCAUAUUCGUGUACUUUGGGUGUACUUGCCCGUGUGGUUAGUUAACAUCAAUUUUGGUUAUCAUAAAAUGGCUGGAGGAAUGUAGCUUCGAUUUCGAUUGAAGUGUUUAUAGCCUUCGGCAGAUGUGAUGAUCGGGAUUGAGGAUUGCAACGGAUACCCUUCGGGGCUACCUGUCUGAUCUCUGAUCGUUGCUCUGGUGCCGAAAGCGUGCUUACGGUUAUCAAAGUCGAUGGUUAAUAGGUUAGAACGGGUUAAAUUCGUUAAGGAUGUUGACGUA